rnacentral:lncRNA from 1 species
UACACAUGGUUAGUGGCUCGAUGGGUUGAUCACCAUCGUGCACUAACAGAUUUAGAACGUUAUAAGGGUGGGUGCUUGACAGGAGGUUAUCCGGAGCACAGUUAAGGUUAUUGAUUCCGACCGGGUGCGUCCCGAGAUCAAUAACAGAUUUUGGAUCUGACUGGGUGCGUCCCGAGAUCAGUGAAUGUGGGGAGAAAGUGAGUAACAAUCGAACGUACAUGGCGCGCCACUUAAUGAAGAAAAGUUUUGUCAUGCUUAGAAGUGGGAUUCCGUUUUAAAACCUUCUAAGUCAUGAUUGUGAUAUUGGAUAAACUGCUUCGAUUACUUCAUAAAAUAUUUCAGAAACUUGUGCCCACUGAGUACAUUAGUACUCAGCCCAAAUUAUUUUCAAAUGUUUUCAGGUUGAUCAGUUGGUGCAGACGAGGCUGAGCUGAGGCUAAGGUUCCACGAUGUCUUUUGCUUCCGCUAAUAACUAUCUUGUCACCUCACCCUCCAUCCCCUAAAUUGAGAAUUUCUAUUAUGUGGUACAAUAUUAUCUUGUUGGGCUUAAACUCUUAUCCUAUAUUUCUAUUAAUAAAGCUAUCUUUGAUUAUGGUCAGAGCCACGAAACUAAACUUAUGUGAUCCUGAGUUUGAAUAUUGUCAUUUGAUUGGCAACUCUUAAGGCCUUUCAAUUUACUUCCUUUCAUUUUAUCUCUUUGGAAUAUGAAUACCCAAUUUAAUGGGUAGAUUGUCAAGUUUAUUCUGGUUGAUUAAGACUUUCCAUUAUUUUUCCUAUUUCCUCUUGCCUUGGGAAGUCGGGUCGUUACAAGUGGUAUCAGAGCACAAGUUUUCUUUCGUGUCUCUGACUACCGUUAGUUUAAUUACUUCGAGUCUGGAAUUUGUACCUCUAGACUCCUAAGCAUUGCUGCAACCCUCAGCUCACCGUCUCACUGCCUGAUCAACAAAGGUACGUUUUCAAAAUUUUCAAAUAAAUUAUUUUGCUUCAAGAAAGUGCGCGCAAAUGAUUAUCUUGUGAAAAACUUGAAUGAUUCCACAUAUGCAAGGAGAUAUUGUUUAUGCAAAGAAAGAAAAGUGAAAUUUCGAAAUGAAACAUACAAGAAAAAUAUCAAAACAGGAUGGAUAUAGAGCACACAUGAUAUAUUUUAAAAAGAACUAAAUCAUAAAGAGUCUCAUUGACUCCACACAAGAAUGUUAGAAAGACAAAAUAUUAAUUCAUUAGUCUUGAUUCUAUGAAUCAUUUAUGAUUAAAGAUAUGUUUUGAUUUUUACUUCUAUGCAUGUUGAGAAAUAUUUCUAGAUGGUAGUGACAUGAUUUGUCGACUUAGAUUAUUUAAAACCUUUUUGACUUGACAAUUAUGAGUAGGUUGACUCAAUAGUCAAUAAAGCUAUGAGCUUAUAAGAGUAUGCUUUACCUCAUAGCGAGAGGUGCACUAGCAAAUGCUAUGACAUGAUUUCAAAUCAUAUGAACUAGACUUUUGUCUAGGGAACUUUAGAAUGAUGAGGAAUAGAACCUUGAAGAACAUAGAAUAUUUUCAGAAUACCUAUGAUGCUUAUAGAACAGAGAAACUUGGUUAGAUCUAGUCUUGCGUUAUUUUUUGUUUGAAUGUCAUUGGUCUUUCUUUUUAGACGGACAAACAAGGCGAGAAGUUCUGCAAGCAUUAGACACCAAUGUACUUGCAAAAACAAUAUGACGAGAAGUUCCAUGACUACAUCAAGAACCUAGAUGAUUUAUUCAAAGAAUUUUGGGAGAUCUUCGUGUUUUGAAUAGAUGCGCGCAAUGGAAGAGUAUUAAAUAUCGAAUCAUCAACGAGGCUCGUGCGGCACCUUUCAAAUGAAUGGAAUAUAGGGACAGCCAACACAUGCCCAAGAAUUGUGAUCAAUGAUUUUUCGCAGCUGACCAAGAGCACCAAGCCAAGGCCAUUGACAUCGUAAGAAGAUCAUAAGAACAAUAUUGAGGAAGUUAUCACAAGAAAUAUAUGAGAAAACAAUUGCCUACAUGCGUUAUUAGAUUAGUGGUGGUACCAGUUGUGUGGAAUCACGUUUCUUUGUACAUAAUCACCAAACCUUUUGAUUGUAAGUCGAACUCGUCUACAUCUAACUCAGACCUUACCUAGAACCUCAAUUCUUUUAAUAAAUACUCAUAUUAUGCUUAUGUAUUCCAAAGAAAUACUUGGAGUAUACUAUUGUGUUAAUUANGGAGAAAGUGAGUAACAAUCGAACGACACAUGGCGCGCCACUUAAUGAGAAAAGUUUUGUCAUGCUUAGAAGCGGAUUUCUAUUUUAAAACCUUCUAAGUUAUGAUUGUGAUAUUGGAUAAACUGUUUCGAUUAUUUCAUAAAAUAUUUCAGAAACUCGUGCCCACUGAGUACAUUAGUACUCAGCCCAAAUCAUUUUCAAAUGUUUUUAGGUUGA